CCUAAAUUCAGGGAGCAGCAGACGUUGACCACUUCUGCCUAGUUUUGUGUAAUAUGAUUCUAAACUCCUUUUGCCCCCGCCACGCAGCUCUCCAUGGAAACCCAUCACUUUCCACCCCGGCCCUUGUCAGCAGAGGAAUGAGUAAAUGGGGAGUCGAGCAAAAAGCUUUAGCUGGCAYAUCUAGCAUCAGCGUGAGCUGCAGAAGCAACAGAUUCGGCACUUGGAAACAUCAGGGGGAUUCUCCUCAAGAGACUCUGUAGUCAAAAGCCAGAGUGAUGGCUACCCACAUGGGCCUUUUAUUAAUCUGUGACAAAUUUAAGUCCUGGUUCUUCCAAAUGGCCUUCAGUUUCAGCUGCUCAUAGAAGUGAAACUACUCAGAACAACCUUCCUGCUGUCCACUGCAGCAUCCAUCACCCAAGUGAUUAAG